UUGUUCCUGGAAUGUGCGAUCCCCCUAUUUUUCCUGAACCUACAUUUGAAUUAAAGGGAUUCCUAUAUCGUCGGUCUCAAUGUCAGGCCAUAUCUACGGAUCAGUGGAAGACAGCGAAUCGAGUGCGGUUACCCACCUGGCAUCGGCUAGGCGUCAGUUUCAUAGGAACGGCAUUCCGGGAAUAUA
rnacentral:other from 1 species